UGAGAAUCCAGUGAUGUGACCAUUACACCAUCUGCUGGUUCCUAUAAAUUUUACUCAGAAGACAAUCUAAAAAGGUCUUCACCCAACACAAAUAGUUCUCACCAAUAGAUGCCUGUGAACUUCUAGCAAACAAUUUAGUGGACACAGAAACAUGCCACCUUGAAUGUGCUAAAGAAUGCAAAAUCUUCUUGGGAAAUGCUGAAAAACAGCUUGGUUCUCACGUGACAAAUCGCCCCAGGUGGUCACCGGUGGCUGCAAAAUGGAUGAAACUCUUAGCUACCCUCAU